GCCAAGAGGUCAACCCUCCCUCGCCCCGCACGCUGCUGUCAGCAAAGUGGGGACGCGGCCUCGAGUCUCGCAAACUCCCGAAUUGGAAUGUACCGAUGGCCCCAGACAGCAUCAUUUCCUCCCACCGGGCCGGACACGAAGGUCAAGGAGAACUUUCAAACCGGGGUGGGGUGCACUCUCCUGGGGCAGGUCCCUGUGCGCCCCCCGCUGCCCUGUCUUAUGUCUGGGGAAAGUGGGAGGUGGGCAGCGUAGCUAGGUGCCAGGGGUACCCUGCACCUGACACAAUGAUGGUUUCUACGCCUUCCCGUCCCCAGCACGGCGUAGGCCACCAGAGGAAGGGCUGUCCAUACCCUGCACCCCCCACCCCCCUCAUUUCCAGAGAGCAAGCAUGCCUCAAAUGCUUCCCCGGCCAUCUCCCCCCCUCCAGAGGGACACCACCUUGUCCUGCCACCUUCCUCCACACUCCGCAAGCCCAAAGUCAGAGGCCUGCCCGGAAGACGCAAGGCACGAAGCUUCAGGAAUGGUGCAGUUUAAACUCGUGCGUGCCACUGGAAGUGGAACUGGGUCCGGACAAGCAUAACCCAGCAGCCAUUGCCAGCGAAACCCUGCACGACCACCCCAUCCUUCCAACAACCCCCAAACGUCUGCGCGGCUGACAGCCAGGUGUGCUGGUUGUCGCUGAGGAAGAAGCCUUCGCGGCAGUGGCACUCGUAGCUGCCCAUCAUGUUGACGCAGCUCUGCUGACAGCCGCCGUUGCCUUCGGAGCACUCGUCCACAUCUGUGCAGGAGAGGGGGCGGUGAGUCCCCACAGGCAGCAUUAGACCAAGCCAGGCAGCGCCCAGCCCCCACCAGCUGACGUCCCACUGGGCCUGGGGAGUGCACCUGAGCCUGGCUCCUCUAGAUGAGGACUUGCCUCCCUGCCCUCACCGGCUGAAAUCGGGCCUUGGGGGUGCAAUGAAGACAAAGAUGGAGACCGGGCCUGGGAGUGGCAAUAGGCUGCCAAUCGGUGGUGGUGCAGUCAGAGACCCAGAGGCCCUGGGAGACGGCCGUGCCAUGGUGCUGAGAUUGGAGCGCAGGGUGGGGAAGGGGCAGGAGAACCUGGCCUUCUCGUAGGGCAGGGACCAUUCUGAGGACAGGCCAUAGCCCGGUCCCCUCCCCCUCCCCCCAGGCCUGGGCUCACAGCCAUCUCCCCUAGCCUUUCUCCUAUUUUGGUUUAACAAAACAAAAAUCUGGCAGCUUGGCCAAAAGAGAUGGGGACGAACUGCCAGGCCACACCCUAGAGGGGGAGGGGGAGCAGUGGGCUCACCCCCAAACCACCACCCCAGACCCGCGAGCCAAGCUCACCCUGGGGCUCCAUCACGUCACUGGGGCUCUCCCAAGUCUGCAGCCCUCCUCAGCUGGCCCUGGACUAGGAAGCCUGGGGGCUACUAGUCCCCAAAUGAAGGCGUAAAAUCUGGGUUCUUUAGGGCCUUAUCUGCCCCGCUUCCCAUCUGCUGCGGGCCUAACUCCAUCCUGGCCAAGGGCAGCAGGGCUCAGGCCCGGCGGGCUCCUGCCGGCCCGAUGCACCUGUUGGAAACACACUAUUCCUAGCUCUGCACAUCGCUCACCACGCCCCUGCCCUCUCCGCACGGCCAUCUCCUGCUCGUGGCCGAGCCUGCAUUCUGUCUGAGCUAUUCCAGCCUGGUGGGCUGGCCACCCUGGGCAAGCUCUUUCUAUCAGUUCUCCGGGAGGAAACUGAGGCAAACAUGGACAGCUUUCUCAGGGGUCCCCAGAGAGCCAAGGACAGAGUUGAGAUUUUGAGCCUGCACUCUGGGGAGCCCAGACUCCAAACACACUGCCAUCGUGACUCAGCGCGACCCCCUGUGGGGUUCCGAAGCGCAACUGUCAACGGGAGUAGAAAGGCCAGUCUUUCUCCCGAGGAGCGGCUGGUGGUUCUGAACCGCCGACCAUGCGGAUCGCAGUCCAACAUGCAACCACCAGGGCGCUGAUAUCUCCUCCCUGUCACCCCUUCUCUACUGACAAUUCUGCAGUUCUGACCCUCAGGGAGCAGCCAUCUUCCACGAGAAGGAGCCCGGGUGGUGCUUUGGAUUAAGCAGUGGGCUGCUAACCGCAAGGUCAGCAGUUCAAACCCAGCAGCUAUU